GCCUCUAAUCCUCCCAAAAUUUGACAUCCCUCCAAACUCUACACAACGAUUCAAAAUGUUUUCCUUUUUCUUUUAUUUUUCAUUCUUUUCUGUUUGUCAAUUUCCUUUGUAGGAUUUUAUGUUACGUUAUUUCUACUAUUUCAUUCCUUUAAGUUGUUUCUAUAUGAGAUUUUCUUAAGAUUCAUAAGUGUUUCUAUACGUAAAGUCAGUGGCUUGCCCUUUUCCCAAGUUUUCCCCCAAAAUAAAACUCUUGCUCUCUUGCUCUUGCUCCACCGUCCGAAAGCGCUUGAGGUUUUAUACAUGGUGUUCUUGCUGAAGCUGUUCAAUGAUAAUUUUUAGAGGGUUGGUUUUUAAUUUAUCUAUGUGAAGGAGCACUGAGCAUUUAUAUACUCUGCUUGUGAAACCUUGAUGGAGAUAAUGAUUUGAAAGGAUAUAUGAUAUAUUCCAGUGGAAAUGUUUGUAGAAAAUUAUAAUAUUUUGGGACACUGUAUUAAUGCUGAAUUUAUAAAUAGAAGAUAACAAUAGAAGCAAUAAAUAUAUAUAUAAAGGGGCUUUGAACAUGUGGAGAUGAGAGGCAGCUAAGAGAGCAUGGUGUUAUCAUUUCUCUCCUCAGACCUUUGCUAAAAGUCUUGGGAUUGAAGGCAGGGAUCUUAAUCAUGGCUUUGAGGAAGUAUUAAUCAUCUGCCUGUAAUUGCAGUGAGUGCAAUAAAGCUUUAUUUAUAUAUAUAUAAAUAAAAGUGAGGGGGAGUGAGUUUCUUUUAAGCAAAAUCUUGUAUUGAGGGAUAGCUGUAAAAAAAGUUUGGAUGAAAAGAAGAAUAAAUAAUUAAAGUCAAGAGAGAGGGUGGGGGAUUGUUGAAGCUCCUCUCUCUCUCUUUCUUUAUUUCUUUUAAAGAUAAAAACUUGAAAUAGUAAAGAGGAAAAAAAAAUGAGAAAAGUUGCUUAGAUAAAAGCAAAGGAGGUGGUGUGUGUAUAUGUGGGUGUCACCAGCUUCUUGGGUCUUCUUCUUCUUCUUCUUCUUCUUUACCUAUCUCACCUUGUUAUGGAGUUUCAAGCACCCAUUCUUGGACCCCAACUACUGCUUUGAGAAUAUUUUCUUUUUAUUGCAUUGUUUUUGGAUUCCUAAAACUUGUCGGUUCACCAAGUACAGUGUAUCAGAUACUGCUCUCUCUCACUAAUUGCUUCCCUUCCAUUGUGUUAAAAGUAUAUAAAUGCUCAGUGCUCUUAGUCAUCAAAAUAUGGAGGAAAAUUUGGCAAGAUAUAUCUGCAGCAUCUUACAAGAUAACCAGCAGAACUCUGAGGUUCUAGUACAGGAUGUUCAAUAUAUUCGUGCACAGUUGCUGCCAAGUUUGACAGAUGCCCAGAGGUUAAAAUAGUGAAAUGCACUGUGAAUGACAUACCGGUGGACAUCUCUUUCAAUCAAACGGCUGGUCUAUCUGCACUUUGCUUUCUGGAGAAGGUUGACCAGCUAAUUGGAAAAGAUCAUCUUUUCAAACGCAGUAUUAUUUUGAUCAAGGCCUGGUGCUAUUACGAGAGCCGGAUCCUUGGUGCACACCAUGGCUUGCUUUCUACAUAUGCAUUAGAAACAAUGAUUUUAUAUACCAUUAAUGUCUUUCAUUCAUCCUUAUUUUGUUCUAUUUGUAUUUUGUUAGAUUUCUGGUGUAGUAUGAUAAGUGCGGUAUUUUGUUUGGCGGGAUGUAUUUAUAUCAUAGAUUAUUCUUCUUCUCAAUAUUUUGAUAAUGAAUUUUAAUUUUUUUAUA